rnacentral:rRNA from 1 species
AGAGUUUGAUCCUGGCUCAGGACGAACGCUGGCGGCGUGCCUAAUACAUGCAAGUCGAACGGUCUUUUCUAUGGAAGCUUGCUUCCACUGAGAAGAUAGUGGCGGACGGGUGAGUAACACGUGGGUAACCUGCCCAUAAGAGGGGGAUAACAUCCGGAAACGGGUGCUAAUACCGCAUAGUUUUUCUGAUCGCAUGAUCGGGAAAGGAAAGACGGCCUUUGUGCUGUCGCUUAUGGAUGGACCCGCGGCGUAUUAGUUAGUUGGUGAGGUAAUGGCUCACCAAGACGAUGAUACGUAGCCGACCUGAGAGGGUGAUCGGCCACAUUGGGACUGAGACACGGCCCAAACUCCUACGGGAGGCAGCAGUAGGGAAUCUUCCGCAAUGGACGAAAGUCUGACGGAGCAACGCCGCGUGAGUGAAGAAGGUUUUCGGAUCGUAAAACUCUGUUGUCAGAGAAGAACAAGUUGGAGAGUAACUGCUCCAGCCUUGACGGUAUCUGACCAGAAAGCCACGGCUAACUACGUGCCAGCAGCCGCGGUAAUACGUAGGUGGCAAGCGUUGUCCGGAUUUAUUGGGCGUAAAGCGAGCGCAGGCGGUUCCUUAAGUCUG